rnacentral:tRNA from 1 species
GCCCCGUUGGACUUCCGGUUGAGGUCCUCGGCCCUUCACGUCGAUGAGGCGAGUUCGACUCUCGCACGGGGCACCA